CCUACGUGGGGCAGCAGUGAGGAAUAUUGGUCAAUGGACGAGAGUCUGAACCAGCCAAGUAGCGUGAAGGAUGACUGCCCUAUGGGUUGUAAACUUCUUUUAUAAAGGAAUAAAACGAGGCACGUGUGCCUUUUUGCAUGUACUUUAUGAAUAAGGAUCGGCUAACUCCGUUCCAGCAGCCGCGGUAAUACGGAGGAUCCGAGCGUUAGCCGGAUUUAUUGGGUUUAAAGGGAGCGUAGAUGGGUUGUUAAGUCAGUUGUGAAAGUUUGCGGCUCAACCGUAAAAUUGCAAUUGAUACUGGAAGGCUGGAGUACAGUGGAGGUAGGCGGAAUUCGUGGUGUAGCGGUGAAAUGCUUAGAUAUCACGAAGAACCCCGAUUGCGAAGGCAGCUUACUAAACUGUGACUGACAUUGAUGCUCGAAAGUGUGGGUAUCAAACAGGAUUAGAUACCCGAGUAGUC
rnacentral:rRNA from 1 species